UACAGAGGGGGCAAGCGUUAUUCGGAAUUAUUGGGCGUAAAGGGCGCGUAGGCGGCCUGGCAAGUGGAUGGUGAAAUCCCUCGGCUUAACCGAGGAACUGCCAUCCAGACUGCUUGGCUUGAGACCGGGAGAGGUGAGUGGAAUUCCCAGUGUAGCGGUGAAAUGCGUAGAUAUCGAGAGGAACACCUGCGGCGAAGGCGGGUUGCUGGGCCGACACUGACGCUGAUGCGCGAAAGCCAGGGGAGCGAACGGG
rnacentral:rRNA from 1 species